rnacentral:rRNA from 1 species
CCCUUAGAUGUCCUGGGCCGCACGCGCGCUACACUGAUGCAUGCAACGAGUUUAUAACCUUGGCCUGAAAGGUCUGGGUAAUCUUUUGAACGUGCAUCGUGAUAGGGAUAGAUUAUUGCAAUUGUUAAUCUUGAACGAGGAAUUCCUAGUAAACGCGAGUCAUCAGCUCGCAUUGAUUACGUCCCUGCCCUUUGUACACACCGCCCGUCGCACCUACCGAUUGAAUGGUUCGGUGAAGAUCUCGGACUUCGAUAUUUAUUCUUUAUUGAGUUUAUAUUGUGGGAAGUUAUCUAAACCUCAUCAUUUAGGGGAAGGUGAAGUCGUAACA